rnacentral:rRNA from 1 species
UACGGAGGGUGCAAGCGUUAUCCGGAUUCACUGGGCUUAAAGGGUGCGUAGGUGGGUUGGUAAGUCAGUGGUGAAAUCUCCAGGCUUAACUUGGAAACUGCCAUUGAUACUAUCAAUCUUGAAUACCGUGGAGGUCAGCGGAAUAUGUCAUGUAGCGGUGAAAUGCUUAGAUAUGACAUAGAACACCAAUUGCGAAGGCAGCUGGCUACACGAAUAUUGACACUGAUGCACGAAAGCGUGGGGAGCAAACAGG